rnacentral:rRNA from 1 species
UCGAACGGUGACGGCCCCGCAAGGGGCCUGAACAGUGGCGAAAGGGUGAGGAACACGUGAGGAACCUGCCCUUGAGUCCGGAAUAGCCCCGGGAAACCGGGAUUAAUGCCGGAUGUGGUUGGAGGCCGAAUGGUCUCCGGACUGAAGGCGCAAGCCGCUCAGGGAUGGCCUCGCGUCCGAUCAGCUGGUUGGUGAGGUAACGGCCCACCAAGGCUGAGACCGGUAGCUGGUCUGAGAGGAUGGUCAGCCACACUGGGACUGAGACACUGCCCAGACUCCUACGGGAGGCUGCAGUCGAGAAUCUUCCGCAAUGGGCGAAAGCCUGACGGAGCGAUGCCGCGUGAGGGAUGAAGGCCUUCGGGUUGUAAACCUCUGUCGCCCGGGACGAAACCAUGACGGUACCGGGAGAGGAAGCUACGGCUAACUACGUGCCAGCAGCCGCGGUAAUACGUAGGUAGCAAGCGUUAUUCGGAUUUACUGGGCGUAAAGGGUCCGCAGGGGGUCUGCCAAGUCCGGCGUGAAAGCCCACGGCUCAACUGUGGAACGGCGCUGGAAACUGGCGGGCUGGAGUGCAUGAGGGGUGAGCAGAAUUCCUGGUGUAGCGGUGGAAUGCGCAGAUAUCAGGAGGAAUACCGAUGGCGAAGGCGGCUCACUGGCGUGCAACUGACCCUCAGGGACGAAAGCGUGGGGAGCAAACAGGAUUAGAUACCCUGGUAGUCCACGCUGUAAACGGUGCACAUUCGAUGCGGGUGGAGCUUUGAUCCCAUCCGUGUCUGAGCUAACGCGUUAAAUGUGCCGCCUGGGGACUACGGCCGCAAGGCUAAACUCAAAGGAAUUGACGGGGGCCCGCACAAGCGGUGGAGCAUGUGGCUUAUUCGAGGCACGCGAAGAACUUACCUGGGUUGACAUCAACUGGACCGGUGUGAAGCACCUUUCCGCAGGACUGGUUGACAGUGCUGCAUGGCUGUCGUCAGCUCGUGUCGUGAGAUGUUCGGUUAAGUCGGCACGACGCACCGC